AGCGCUCAACACCACGCUGCCAUGCCAGCAUGGACACGAUUACUUGUAUAUAAUCAAUCGUGGUUCUUUUGGCUGCAAGUAUUACUGCAGAUCGCCUCCUCACAAAAUCGUGAAUCGUCCUGACGGCUACGAUUGUUUGAGACCGGACACUGCAGACCAAGGCAGAUGUGACCGUGGUUACUGCAAAACUCCCUUGAAGCGCAAAACUUGACCGGGGACCUACUUCCGAAUGAUAAUUCAAUUCUGAGCAUGAUGUUCUUGCAAAUUAUACAACGCAAACA